rnacentral:rRNA from 1 species
UACGAAGGGUGCAAGCGUUAAUCGGAAUUACUGGGCGUAAAGGGUGCGUAGGCGGUUGUUUAAGUCUGUCGUGAAAUCCCCGGGCUCAACCUGGGAAUGGCGAUGGAUACUGGGCAGCUAGAGUGUGUCAGAGGAUGGUGGAAUUCCGGGUGGAGCGGUGAAAUGCGUAGAGAUCCGGAGGAACACCGACGGCGUAGGCAGCGCCCUGGACGACACCUGACGCUGAGGCACGAAAGCUGGGGGAGCGAACAGG